rnacentral:rRNA from 1 species
CCUGGCUCAGGAUGAACGCUAGCUACAGGCUUAACACAUGCAAGUCGAGGGGCAGCAUUUCAGUUUGCUUGCAAACUGGAGAUGGCGACCGGCGCACGGGUGAGUAACACGUAUCCAACCUGCCGAUAACUCGGGGAUAGCCUUUCGAAAGAAAGAUUAAUACCCGAUGGCAUAAUUAGACCGCAUGGUCUUAUUAUUAAAGAAUUUCGGUUAUCGAUGGGGAUGCGUUCCAUUAGGCAGUUGGUGAGGUAACGGCUCACCAAACCUUCGAUGGAUAGGGGUUCUGAGAGGAAGGUCCCCCACAUUGGAACUGAGACACGGUCCAAACUCCUACGGGAGGCAGCAGUGAGGAAUAUUGGUCAAUGGACGAGAGUCUGAACCAGCCAAGUAGCGUGAAGGAUGACUGCCCUAUGGGUUGUAAACUUCUUUUAUAUGGGAAUAAAGUUUUCCACGUGUGGAAUUUUGUAUGUACCAUAUGAAUAAGGAUCGGCUAACUCCGUGCCAGCAGCCGCGGUAAUACGGAGGAUCCGAGCGUUAUCCGGAUUUAUUGGGUUUAAAGGGAGCGUAGGUGGACAGUUAAGUCAGUUGUGAAAGUUUGCGGCUCAACCGUAAAAUUGCAGUUGAUACUGGCUGUCUUGAGUACAGUAGAGGUGGGCGGAAUUCGUGGUGUAGCGGUGAAAUGCUUAGAUAUCACGAAGAACUCCGAUUGCGAAGGCAGCUCACUGGACUGCAACUGACACUGAUGCUCGAAAGUGUGGGUAUCAAACAGGAUUAGAUACCCUGGUAGUCCACACAGUAAACGAUGAAUACUCGCUGUUUGCGAUAUACAGUAAGCGGCCAAGCGAAAGCAUUAAGUAUUCCACCUGGGGAGUACGCCGGCAACGGUGAAACUCAAAGGAAUUGACGGGGGCCCGCACAAGCGGAGGAACAUGUGGUUUAAUUCGAUGAUACGCGAGGAACCUUACCCGGGCUUAAAUUGCAUUUGAAUAUAUUGGAAACAGUAUAGCCGUAAGGCAAAUGUGAAGGUGCUGCAUGGUUGUCGUCAGCUCGUGCCGUGAGGUGUCGGCUUAAGUGCCAUAACGAGCGCAACCCUUAUCUUUAGUUACUAACAGGUCAUGCUGAGGACUCUAGAGAGACUGCCGUCGUAAGAUGUGAGGAAGGUGGGGAUGACGUCAAAUCAGCACGGCCCUUACGUCCGGGGCUACACACGUGUUACAAUGGGGGGUACAGAAGGCAGCUACCUGGUGACAGGAUGCUAAUCCCAAAAGCCUCUCUCAGUUCGGAUCGAAGUCUGCAACCCGACUUCGUGAAGCUGGAUUCGCUAGUAAUCGCGCAUCAGCCAUGGCGCGGUGAAUACGUUCCCGGGCCUUGUACACACCGCCC